rnacentral:rRNA from 1 species
GACGAACCGAGCGAACGUUGUUCGGAAUCACUGGGCUUAAAGGGCGCGUAGGCGGGCUCGCCAGUCCGUGGUGAAAUCCUCCGGCUCAACCGGAGAACUGCCUCGGAUACUGUGGGCCUCGAGGGUGGUAGGGGUAUGCGGAACUAUCGGUGGAGCGGUGAAAUGCGUUGAUAUCGAUAGGAACUCCGGUGGCGAAGGCGGCAUACUGGACCACUUCUGACGCUGAGGCGCGAAAGCCAGGGGAGCAAACGGG